rnacentral:rRNA from 1 species
GAUGAACGCUGGCGGCGUGCCUAAUACAUGCAAGUCGAGCGAACAGAUAAGGAGCUUGCUCCUUUGACGUUAGCGGCGGACGGGUGAGUAACACGUGGGUAACCUACCUAUAAGACUGGGAUAACUUCGGGAAACCGGAGCUAAUACCGGAUAACAUUUGGAACCGCAUGGUUCUAAAGUGAAAGAUGGUUUUGCUAUCACUUAUAGAUGGACCCGCGCCGUAUUAGCUAGUUGGUAAGGUAACGGCUUACCAAGGCAACGAUACGUAGCCGACCUGAGAGGGUGAUCGGCCACACUGGAACUGAGACACGGUCAAGACUCCUACGGGAGGCAGCAGUAGGGAAUCUUCCGCAAUGGGCGGAAGCCUGAUGGAGCAACGCCGCGUGAGUGAUGAAGGGUUUCGGCUCGUAAAACUCUGUUAUUAGGGAAGAACAAACGUGUAAGUAACUGUGCACGUCUUGACGGUACCUAAUCAGAAAGCCACGGCUAACUACGUG